AUUGAACGCUGGCGGAAUGCUUUACACAUGCAAGUCGAACGGUAGAGGGGGCAACCCCUCGAGAGUGGCGAACGGGUGAGUAAUAUAUCGGAACGUGCCCAGUCGUGGGGGAUAACGUAGCGAAAGUUACGCUAAUACCGCAUACGAUCUAAGGAUGAAAGCGGGGGAUCGCAAGACCUCGCGCGAUUGGAGCGGUCGAUAUCAGAUUAGGUAGUUGGUGGGGUAAAGGCUCACCAAGCCAACGAUCUGUAGCUGGUCUGAGAGGACGACCAGCCCCACUUGAACUGAGACACGGUCCAGACUCCUACGGGAGGCAGCAGUGGGGAAUUUUGGACAAUGGACGCAAGUCUGAUCCAGCCAUUCCGCGUGCAGGAUGAAGGCCCUCGGGUUGUAAACUGCUUUUGUACGGAACGAAAAGGUCUCUCUUAAUACGGGGGGCUCAUGACGGUACCGUAAGAAUAAGCACCGGCUAACUACGUGCCAGCCGCCGCGGUAA
rnacentral:rRNA from 1 species